UACGGAGACCUCGAGCGUUACUCGGAUUUACUGGGCGUAAAGGGUGAGCAGGCGGCCAAGUGUGUCAGGUGUGAAAUCCCGGGGCUUAACCCCGGAACUGCGCCUGAAACUACUUGGCUAGAGUCUCGGAGAGGAGAGUGGAAUUCUAGGUGUAGCGGUGAAAUGCGUAGAUAUCUAGAGGAACACCAGUGGCGAAGGCGACUGUCUGGACGAGUACUGACGCUCAAUCACGAAAGCGUGGGUAGCGAAAGGGAUUAGAAACCCUGGUAG
rnacentral:rRNA from 1 species